rnacentral:rRNA from 1 species
AGUGAACGCUGGCGGUAGGCCUAACACAUGCAAGUCGAACGGCAGCACAGUAAGAGCUUGCUCUUACGGGUGGCGAGUGGCGGACGGGUGAGGAAUACAUCGGAAUCUACUUUUUCGUGGGGGAUAACGUAGGGAAACUUACGCUAAUACCGCAUACGACCUACGGGUGAAAGCAGGGGAUCUUCGGGCCUUGCGCGAUUGAAUGAGCCGAUGUCGGAUUAGCUAGUUGGCGGGGUAAAGGCCCACCAAGGCGACGAUCCGUAGCUGGUCUGAGAGGAUGAUCAGCCACACUGGAACUGAGACACGGUCCAGACUCCUACGGGAGGCAGCAGUGGGGAAUAUUGGACAAUGGGCGCAAGCCUGAUCCAGCCAUACCGCGUGGGUGAAGAAGGCCUUCGGGUUGUAAAGCCCUUUUGUUGGGAAAGAAAAGCAGCAGGUUAAUACCCCGCUGUUCUGACGGUACCCAAAGAAUAAGUACCGGCUAACUUCGUG